UCUCUCUCUCUCUCUUUCUCGAAUCUACCGACGAACCUAUCGGGCUUGAAUUCCUGGUGACUUUCGCCCGCGGCGUAUCACUUUUACGAAGAACAACCUCUUUCUCUCUCCUUCUCUCUAUCUCUCUCUAUAUUUUGCUUCCUGCAAUUAACGAUUAUUAUUUUGAAUCUGUAAUGAUAUCGACGAUUGAUCGCUAUUAGUCAAACGUUUUGUGUUUUUUUUAUCAAAAUAUUAUUUUAUAUAGUUUUCAGUAAUUAUCAUUAUAAUUAUGGUGAAAAUUUGAACAUAAAUAUAUAUAUAUGAUUUUGUUCCUAAUUCAACUACAGAUUAUGAAUAGUGUGCUGCACGCGUACAUCGUUACCGUGAAAUCGGAUUAUGAUCCUUAAGUGACGACUCGACAGCGGAAGCAAAGAAGAGAUAAGCUGUAGUAUCAUUUUUCUGAUCGUCUCAACUCCGAUAGAAAUUGCGAAAGUAUGCGAUUCCGUUUUCCAACGGUUCAUUUGUAUGUAUCUUAAGAUACAGUUUGAUGACCUAAGUUAUAAUAUUUAUAUUUUUCAAUUACAAGUACAUUUGAAAUAAUUAUUAAAGUAGAAAAUAAUUAAAAAUAUAACUAAUGACACAUUAUUAAAAUAAUUGGAAACAAAAUAAAGGGCUUCUAUAUUAUAUUAAUUGGAUAUUAAUUUGAUCAGUAUUUUUAAAUACCGUUUGGUUAAUAUUUUAAAUAAAUAACUAGUAUUUAUAAUGAAG